AACGAACGCUGGCGGCAGGCUUAACACAUGCAAGUCGAGCGCCCCGCAAGGGGAGCGGCAGACGGGUGAGUAACGCGUGGGAAUCUACCCAUCUCUACGGAAUAACGCAUGGAAACGUGUGCUAAUACCGUAUACGUCCUUCGGGAGAAAGAUUUAUCGGAGAUGGAUGAGCCCGCGUUGGGUUAGCUAGUUGGUGGGGUAAAGGCCUACCAAGGCGACGAUCCAUAGCUGGUCUGAGAGGAUGAUCAGCCACACUGGGACUGAGACAGGGCCCAGACUACUACGGAGGGCAGCAGUGGGGAAUAUUGGACGAUGGGCCGAAGCCUGAUCCAGCCAUGCCGCGUGCGUGAUGAAGGCCCUAGUGUUGUAAAACUCUUUCACCGGUGAAGAUAAUGACGGUAACCGGAGAAGAAGCCCCGGCUAACUUCGUGCCAGCCGCCGCCGUAAAAC
rnacentral:rRNA from 1 species